CCUUCUUUUAAGUAUGUGCCAAGCUUGAAAUUGCAACACCAAACUAUCAAAAAGAGCCAAAAAAAAAAAAAUUACAAAGAGCCAAAAAAGUCAAAUGAACAAAAGAGCUGUGUUUACCGUCUUGUACUUCUGUUACUGAGAAAAAGAAGAUGGUGUGUUAAAAUCAUCUGAAAUGAAGCCAUGAAGAAAAUGUUAAUUAAAUGAAAGCAUCUGAAAUACAUCUGGCAGUUUAUCAAAUACAGUAUCCUGCUUUGUUAAAGAACAGAGAAAGAGAUGGGAAUAUGGAUUCACCCAAUGAAGCAGAGACCAUUUCAAAACCACUGGGAAAAUAUGACGGACGGUGCUGUUCUGACAUGGAAAGGUGCCACGAGUCAUUCUUUAAAUAUCACAAGAUACCUUGAGUAUAAUUCUGCGUCUGAGAGGCCCUGUGUUAAGGACUGAGGAAAACGAGAAAAAGCAGACACCAUCAGUACCCUCAUGAACUUACUCGGUAGAAGGCAAAUUCAAUCAAAUCACAACAUAUUAAUCUGAUCUGACGAGUGCUAUGAACACUGUAAAGGGAAGAUGCAUGGUAUGGAACAAGGAGAAUUAACCUGGUCUGGAUCCCCAAGGAAAUGAUCUCUGUGCUAAGAUCUGAAUGAUGAGGCGGCUGGGGGAUGAGGGUGGAAAAUCAGAGGAGGAGGCAAUACAGACUCAAGAUGGCAGAGAACUGAUACGGCCCAGAAAUGGAGGCUCAUCAAUGAUGCUCACUGAGCAUGUAGUAUUAGUCUACUUCUCUGUAUGACAGGAUCAUGGUAUUAGUUAGGAACUGCUAGUAUCCCAUGUCAGAAAUAAUAAGAACUUGAAGAGGGAAGUUUAAUUUCCUCUCAAAAAAAAAAAAAAAAAAAAAAAAAAAAAAAGAACUGAGAUAGGAAGUCCUGAUCUGAUGUAGCCCCGUUAUCUUCGAUCUUUGUGUACAUUCCUAGAUUUUGGCUUCUCCUGUUGUCAUCCCGUGGUCUAGGAUCAGUUCCUGAGUUCCAGCCACGCUGUCCACAUUCCAGGCAAGAUAAAGGAAGAUUGAGAAAAGAAAAAAAAGGACAAAACAAGGUCUAUCUCCUAUUAAGAAGCUUCCGCCAAAGACUCAGACUAAAAAAAUUCCAUUUAUGUUUCAUUGGCAGGAAUUUAGCAACAUGGUGUCACUUAGUUGCAAGGAAGCCUAGAAAGUAUAGUUUUUUUUCAGCUGAGCACGUUGUCACCUCAUCAAAUAAAAUAGGGUUUCUCUUAUUAAGGCA
rnacentral:lncRNA from 1 species